AUCAACUUUCGAUGGUAGGAUAGAGGCCUACCAUGGUGGUAACGGGUAACGGGGUGUUAGGGCACGACACCGGAGAGGGAGCCUGAGAAACGGCUACCACAUCCAAGGAUGGCAGCAGGCGCGCAAAUUACCCAAUCCCGACACGGGGAGGUAGUGACAAUAAAUAACAAUACGGGGUUCUUUCGGAUUUCGUAAUUGGAAUGAGUACAAUUUAAAUCUCUUAACGAGGAACAAUUGGAGGGCAAGUCUGGUGCCAGCAGCCGCGGUAAUUCCAGCUCCAAUAGCGUAUAUUAAAGUCGUUGCAGUUAAAAAGCUCGUAGUUGAAUUUCGGGGUUAGUAGGUUGGUCAUGCCUCUGGUAUGUACUGGUCUCACUGAUUCCUCCUUCCUGAUGAGCCGUAAUGCCAUUAAUUUGGUGUUGCGAGGAAUCUGGACUGUUACUUUGAAAAAAUUAGAGUGUUUAAAGCAGGCUAACGCUUGAAUACAUUAGCAUGGAAUAAUGAAAUAGGACGUUCGAUCCUAUUUUGUUGGUUUCUAGGAUUGACGUAAUGAUUAAUAGGGAUAGUUGGGGGCAUUAGUAUUCAAUUGUCAGAGGUGAAAUUCUUGGAUUUAUUGAAGACUAACUACUGCGAAAGCAUUUGCCAAGGAUGUUUUCAUUAAUCAAGAACGAAAGUUAGGGGAUCGAAGACGAUCAGAUACCGUCGUAGUCUUAACCAUAAACUAUGCCGACUAGGAAUCGGGCGAUGUUGACAAAAUGACUCGCUCGGCACCUCAUGGGAAACCAAAGUGUUUGGGUUC
rnacentral:rRNA from 1 species